rnacentral:tRNA from 1 species
GGGGAUUUAGCUCAGUGGUAGAGCGCUUGCCUAGCGAGCGCUUGCCUAGCAAGCGCAAGGUCCUGGGUUCGGUCCCCAGCUCCA